rnacentral:rRNA from 1 species
AUUGAACGCUGGCGGAAUGCUUUACACAUGCAAGUCGAACGGUAGUGGGGGCAACCCCUCGAGAGUGGCGAACGGGUGAGUAAUAUAUCGGAACGUGCCCAGUCGGGGGGGAUAACGUAGCGAAAGUUACGCUAAUACCGCAUACGAUCUAAGGAUGAAAGCGGGGGAUCGCAAGACCUCGCGCGAUUGGAGCGGUCGAUAUCAGAUUAGGUAGUUGGUGGGGUAAAGGCUCACCAAGCCAACGAUCUGUAGCUGGUCUGAGAGGACGACCAGCCACACUGGAACUGAGACACGGUCCAGACUCCUACGGGAGGCAGCAGUGGGGAAUUUUGGACAAUGGACGCAAGUCUGAUCCAGCCAUUCCGCGUGCAGGAUGAAGGCCCUCGGGUUGUAAACUGCUUUUGUACGGAACGAAAAGGUCUCUCUUAAUACGGGGGGCUCAUGACGGUACCGUAAGAAUAAGCACCGGCUAACUACGUGCCAGCCGCCGCCGUAA